rnacentral:rRNA from 1 species
UACGAAGGGGGGCUAGCGUUGCUCGGAAUGACUGGGCGUAAAGGGCGCGUAGGCGGAUGGCUUUGUCGGGCGUGAAAUUCCAGGGCUUAACCUUGGGGCUGCGUUCGAGACGGGUUGUCUUGAGUGGGGAAGAGGGUCGUGGAAUUCCCAGUGUAGAGGUGAAAUUCGUAGAUAUUGGGAAGAACACCAGUGGCGAAGGCGACACACUGGGCCAUUACUGACGCUGAGGCGCGAAAGCGUGGGGAGCAAACAGG